UACGGGGGGGGCAAGCGUUGUUCGGAAUUACUGGGCGUAAAGGGCUCGUAGGCGGCCAACUAAGUCAGACGUGAAAUCCCUCGGCUUAACCGGGGAACUGCAUCUGAUACUGGAUGGCUUGAGAUUGGGAGAGGGAUGCGGAAUUCCUGGUGUAGCGGUGAAAUGCGUAGAUAUCUGGAGGAAUACCGGUGGCGAAGGCGGCAUCCUGGACCGGCAUUGACGCUGAGGAGCGAAAGCUAGGGGAGCAAACGGG
rnacentral:rRNA from 1 species